UACGUAGGGUGCGAGCGUUGUCCGGAAUUACUGGGCGUAAAGAGCUCGUAGGCGGUUCGUCGCGUCGGCUGUGAAAUCCCGAGGCUCAACCUCGGGUCUGCAGUCGAUACGGGCGGACUGGAGUUCGGCAGGGGAGACUGGAAUUCCUGGUGUAGCGGUGAAAUGCGCAGAUAUCAGGAGGAACACCGGUGGCGAAGGCGGGUCUCUGGGCCGAUACUGACGCUGAGGCGCGAAAGCAUGGGGAGCGAACAGG
rnacentral:rRNA from 1 species